AGUAAAUUGAAUUAAUAAUAAAUAGUGACAUCUCUAAUAUCUUCUUCGUCAACAAAACAAUCUCUUUAAUUGAAAUAAUUUCCGUUUUAUCUUUUGAUUUGGUGACAGCAGUUUAAAGACCUAUGCUACACGUUAUAUAUUUUUUUCCAACAAUAUCUUACGAACGAGUUAAAUUAUAUGAUUUUUCUAAGUAAAAAGAGAGAGCCGACCAAAAAAAAAAAAAUCAAACGGUAAAUGACAAAGUAACUACGGUUAAAAUAAAUAACCAACGCUCGAUAAUCCCGGAUAAUAGAAAAAAAAAAACAGAGACAGCUAGAAAAAAAACAGAGCUCCUUCGCGACGAGAAGUCGCCGCCGGAAUCGAGAGGCCAAGGCCGUAGUUUGAGAGUUUAAAGGAAAAUUACUCCCGACGUUGAUUAGUCUCCGGAGGAUACUUUGUGAUAUUUUGUUGAUUCAUAGGUAGACUGUGAAGACUUGCAAAAGAUAGCCUUUUGACUUCUUUGUUCACUGUUACACGAUGAAUGACGCUCUUGUAUAUGCCGUUGCUCAUCACCUCUACCUGAUCUCCCAGCUGAACUAUCAAAGCUCCUUCUAUAUACGGCACACAAACCCAGUUUUUGUUGCAGUCCAUUAUCUGGAGUCCCUUGCUACUCUGAAGUAAGAUGGUCAGUGAGCUGAAGUCUGAGUGUGGUGGCAUUCCCAAGGCCAUUUCAGGUUCCGGGCAUGCUGGAUAACAAUUCACUGCCAUGACUUCAAAUGUGUUGCCUCUGCAUACUUGCCCACUUUAUCCCUGAAAGCAUGGAGGAUUUGAUGGCCACAUAUCGAUCCACUUUGAGAGUGGAUGAGAGUAAUGCUUGAUGAAAUCUCUCCAGUAGUGAACUCUGUCUGUUGAAUGGUUAAGGCUUGUGCCAUACCUGACUGGCUCAUGAACGUUUGCAGACACCAGAAGCAUCUUCUCUUCCACAGGCCAUGCUAAUCUCGUGGAUUGCGAGGGAUCGAAGGAAAGGUUGGUGCAAAAGAGAGAGAUCAAUGACAGGAAGUGUAGUCUCGCUGGUGCCUAAGCUUGAACCAAGAGCUGGCCUUUGCGAAGGAGGAAGAACGUAGCGAUCAGGGACUUGAGGCACACCUGAAUUGGGGCAAAACUGUCUUUUCAUCAGAUCAGACUGGUAACGUACUGGAUUUACCGCCAUUUCAUAAAAGGUUUAAAGAUAUUUUGGUUUCCACUUUUAAGGCAAAAAAAGAAAAUACUAACAUAUUUCUGUGUGUUGACGUCAUUUAUGAAGGAUGAAUAUCGGUCGAGAUUCAUGGACCAGCACUGAAUAAGGAUGCUGUAUCAUUUAGUUUAUAUAUGUCAUAUGAAUAAAUAAGUAAUUUUUAAUCCUUGUUGAGAAUUGGAAAAAUAACAUGCAUGUUAAAAUGCAUCUGUACUACAACAAGGUCUAUGAGUUGGUUUUUCCUCUUGUCGAAGGUUACAGAGUUCCUCUACCGUUGGAGGAGAGAGUAACUAGUGUGACAUCAUUCUUUCGUAAGAGAUUGUGGAGACUAGAGACCGAGAGUAGUACAGAGAAUUUUUUUUAAUUGUUCCAUAUUUGAAUUAGAACUCUAUCAAGUGUUUCUUUUUGUGUCUAAUCUCAAUAUUAAGCAGUGUCACUUCCAUGUCGGCUGCUGGAUAAAUCCAGCUUUUUCCGUUUGGGUCGAAAACUAAUGGGCCAAAUUUUAUUGUAACGGGCUUGGAAGUUGGG
rnacentral:lncRNA from 1 species